AGACCAAUAGGCUAUGUGCUAUGACAUCUGUUGGGUAAGCACUGCAGAAGUGAGCAAUUCUCAAGCAGCCUGUCUGAGAGACCAGAGGAGAUGGGACUGCAACCUUCUCUUUGUGAUGCUACACAAGUACUUCUGGGGUACUCAACCUUAGAAAGGAGGAACCUGGCCUUAGAAGGUACUCCUUUGCCUUAUUUUGUCAUCAGCUCCAGCUUCUCCUUCCACUGCUGUGCAGACUAAGAUUUCAUUCAGGAAAGAUUUUGUACAGUAAGAUGGAGUUAAUUCCUUUCUCCAUGUCAUGUUUUCCCCUACUCUGCUUUGUUAAUUGCUUUUGUUUUCUGAAGCCAGUGCUGACAUCACCCUGAAACAUCACAUUGUGAACAAAGGAUGCUAUUCACUUCUAGUCCCCUGACUACUGUAUUUGGCUAGAACAAGCAUUAGAGACAGGGAAGGAGGAGCUCAGGAGCAGACACCCGCAUGCCUUUCUCAUCCCAGAGGAUAAAAUUAUUUUCAUCUCCUGAGCAGCAAACAGAUUCACCUGAGGUUUCAUGUUCCGAAAAGGGACUGUGCCCUUUCUCAGAACCCAGAGACUUCUCAGCUUUUCCAUGGAGAGAAGGAAUGAGCCUAUAAUGAUUAACUCUAUCUCUGCUUCUACUACCAGCUAACUUCAUACUUGCAGUACCUUCAUUAAGGCAGGAAACGCUAUCCAAAUAAUUGUAAACCAUGGUGAUUUGGUCUGCAACACAGCGGGAUCAACUUAACAAGCGCUGAUCAUCGAGAACUCUCAGUGAGCACACAAUUGCUUCUUUGUUGCCAGGAAUAAAGUACAAGUGCUUCUCCAAAGGAACUCUUGGAAUCUGUUAACUGCCUUAAAAGCCAACCGCUGUCUCAGGGUACCGAAAGAAGAGCAGGACCCAACUCAUGCAAGACUGGAAGCACAUGAAUGAGGAAGACUUAGAAAAAUAUAUAAAUUUAAACUCUGGAAGACAAAAUUCACUUAUCAUUAUAGAAAAUAGCAGUCAGCUCAACUGCACAAAAAUAACUCAGGCAGUUAUCUCUCACCAGCUUGCAACACUGUACUGAUAUAUUCUAUUUACUACUUUAUAUCCAUCUGCCAAACCCACCUGGGUUUCAUGUAGGGCAUUCACUAGCUCUGUUAAUGAUAAGCUUCACUCUCUUCCCUAUGCCAUCCCCUCAACAACUUCUAAAAAUAAUUAAUUAAAUAAAAA
rnacentral:lncRNA from 1 species